UAUGGUCAAGAUACUAAGGGCGUACGGUGGAUGCCUUGGCGUCAGCAGGCGAUGAAGGACGUGGCCGGCUGCGAUAAGCCCCGGGGAGUCGCUAAGCGGGCCGUGAUCCGGGGAUUUCCGAAUGGGGCAACCCGGCCGGGUUCAUACCCGGUCAGCGGCGCCUGAAUACAUAGGGCGUCGCGGCGAACGCGGCGAACUGAACCAUCUCAGUAACCGCAGGAAGAGAAAGUAACCACGAUUCCCCCAGUAGCGGCGAGCGAAAAGGGAAAAGCCCAAACCGUGCGCGGCGUUAAAGGCCGUCGCCGUUGUCGCGCGCGGGGUCGUGGGACCCGGACGGAGGGUUCGGCGGAACCCUCGGGAAGUUACAAACCUCGUCGGUAGCCGAAGCUUAUGGAAAUCUGCGCCAGAGAAGGUAAAAGCCCUGUAGGCAUAAGCGAUCGAGGCUUCCUGGUCCGGGCACCCAAGUAGGACGGGGCCCGUGAAACCUUGUCCGAAUUUGGGAGGACCAUCUCCUAAGGCUAAAUACUCGCUGACGACCGAUAGUGAACUAGUACCGUGAGGGAAAGGUGAAAAGUACCCCAGUGCGGGGAGUGAAAUAGUACCUGAAACCGUACGCUUACAAGGUGUAGGAGCCGCUUCGGCGGUGACUGCGUGCCUUUUGCAUAAUGAGCCGGCGAGUUACUCGUCUGCGGCGAUAGCUUAAGGCCAAGAGGCCGGAGGCGCAGCGAAAGCGAGUCUUAAAAGGGCGACCAGUCGCAGGCGGUAGACCCGAAACCGGGCGAGCUACCCAUGGCCAGGGUGAAGCGCGCGUAAAAGUGCGUGGAGGCCCGAACCCACCUAGGUUGAAAACUGGGGGGAUGAGCUGUGGGUAGAGGUGAAACGCCAAUCGAGCCCGGAGAUAGCUGGUUCUCCCCGAAAUAGCUUUAGGGCUAGCCUCCGGGGUUAACGGACGGGGGUAGAGCACUGGUUGGGCUAGGGCGGCUUGCCGUACCAAACCCAGAUAAACUCCGAAUACCGUCCGCCACCACCCGGGGAGUCAGACUGCGGGGGAUAAGCUCCGUGGUCGAAAGGGAAACAGCCCAGACCGUCGAUUAAGGCCCCUAAGUGCUGGCUAAGUGGGAAAGGAAGUGCGAAAGCUCAGACAACCGGGAGGUUGGCUUAGAGGCAGCCAUCCUUGAAAGAGUGCGUAAUAGCUCACCGGUCGAGUUUUCUCGCGCCGACAAUGUAGCGGGGCUCAAGCCAGCCGCCGAAAUCGCGGACCAUGGCCUCUUCGGAGGCGUGGUGGUAGGGGAGCGUUCGGCCGGAGCGAAGGCGGUUCGUGAGGACCGCUGGACCGCGCCGAAGUGAAGAUGCCGGCAUGAGUAAACGAUAAAAGGGGUGAGAAACCCUUUCGCCAUAAGCCCAAGGUUUCCUGAGGAAGGCUACUCCGCUCAGGGUUAGUCGGCCCCUAAGCCGAGGCCGAAAGGCGUAGGUGAUGGGCAACGGGUCAACAUUCCCGUACCGCUCGACGGGCGCGAUGGGGCGACGCAGGAGGGUAGGCCAUCCGGGUGUUGGACGUCCCGGUGCAAACCCGUAGGGGGGUCCCGUAGGCAAAUCCGCGGGACCGGCUUCAACGCCACCCCCGAGGGGUGAUGCCGAGAUCGUUUGGAAUCGAAGUGGCUGAUCCCACGCUGCCGAGAAAACCCUCUAAGCAUACCGUCGGGCGACCGUACCGCAAACCGACACAGGUAGGCGGGGAGAGAAUCCCAAGGCGCUCGAGAGAACCCUCGUUAAGGAACUCGGCAAAAUGACCCCGUAACUUCGGAAGAAGGGGUGCUCCCGGAGGUAAAGCGACUUGCUCGCCGAGCUUUCGGGAGUCGCAGAUAAUCGGCCCAGGCGACUGUUUACUAAAAACACAGGACUCUGCUAAGUCGUAAGACGAUGUAUAGGGUCUGACGCCUGCCCGGUGCUGGAAGGUUAAGGGGAGGCGUUAGCUCCCUUCGGGGAGCGAAGCGCUGAACCGAAGCCCCAGUAAACGGCGGCCGUAACUAUAACGGUCCUAAGGUAGCGAAAUUCCUUGUCGGNNGAAAUUCCUUGUCGGGUAAGUUCCGACCCGCACGAAUGGCGUAACGAUCUGGGCGCUGUCUCAACAGGGGACUCGGCGAAAUUGAAGUACCCGUGAAGAUGCGGGUUACCCGCGGCGGGACGGAAAGACCCCGGGAGCUUUACUGCACCUUGGCGCUGGAUUUUGUUCUGGCCUGUCUAGGAUAGGUGGGAGGCUGUGAAGCGCGGGCGUCAGCUCGCGUGGAGCCGUCCUUGGAAUACCACCCUUGUCAUAAUGGAGUCCUAACCUGCGGCCGUGAAUCCGGCCGGGGGACAAGGCCAGGCGGGUAGUUUGGCUGGGGCGGCCGCCUCCUAAAAGGUAACGGAGGCGCGCAAAGGUCCCCUCAGCGCGGUCGGUAAUCGCGCGGCGAGUGUAAAGGCACAAGGGGGCUUGACUGCGAGAGGGACACCUCGAGCAGUUGCGAAAGCAGGGCUUAAUGAUCUUACGGUCCCGAAUGGAAGGGCCGUAACUCAUCGGAUAAAAGCUACCCCGGGGAUAACAGGCUGAUCGUACCCGAGCGUCCACAGCGACGGUACGGUUUGGCACCUCGAUGUCGGCUCGUCGCAUCCUGGGGCUGGAGCAGGUCCCAAGGGUUUGUCUGUUCGCCAAUUAAAGCGGCACGUGAGCUGGGUUUAGAACGUCGUGAGACAGUUCGGUCCCUAUCCGCCGUGGGCGUAGGAGAUUUGAGAGAAGCUGCCCUCAGUACGCAAGGACCAGGGUGGACGAACCUAUGGUGUUCCGGUUGUCGCGCCAGCGGCACCGCCGGGUAGCUAUGUUCGGCCGGGAUAAGCGCUGAAAGCAUCUAAGUGCGAAGCCCCCCUCAAGAUAAGAUCUCCCUGAAGGCCACCGGAAGACUACCGGUUUGAUAGGCCGGAGGUGUAAGCGCGGCGACGCGUUUAGCUGACCGGUACUAAUAGGCCGUUCGUCUUGACCAUA
rnacentral:rRNA from 1 species